rnacentral:tRNA from 1 species
GGGCCGUUAGCUCAGUUGGUAGAGCACUACAUUUGCAAUGUAGGGGUCAGCGGUUCGAAUCCGCUACGGUCCACCA